rnacentral:tRNA from 1 species
CGCGGGGUGGAGCAGCUYGGUAGCUCGUCGGGCUCAUAACCCGAAGGUCGUCGGUUCAAAUCCGGCCCCCGCAACCA